CGACAGCUGCAGCAGCAACAACAAUGGCAGCUGCAGCAGCAACAACAAUGGCUGCCACAGGAACAACAGAUGCUGCAGGACCUACAGAUACUGCCUCAACAUCAAGAGCUGCUGCAGCCUGAUGAACUGCAUCAAAAAAUUCUGCAGCGGUUACAACAACAGAUGCUGCAGAAACAACAAGAGAUGCAGCAGCUAGAAGAUAGACAACAAAUUCUGCAGAAGUUACAACAACAGAUGUUGCGGCAACAAGAGCUGCAGCAGCUAGAAGAAAAGCUGCAACAUCUAAUGCUGUAGCAGUUACAACAACAACAGGAGCAAGUAUAACAGGAUUACCAGACCGUUAUCUAUAUGACCAGGCAAUUCAUUCAAGCACAUCACAGUGAAGAAACUGGCGAUACAAUGACCACUACCCCAAAGACCCUAAUUUUACCCCAACUUUUUAAUCCGCGCAAGCAACCAUAACAUUCCUUCACGCGGCUACAUCUGUUCUAAGCAUGGCCUCUCUAAAGACAUCAUCAACCUCACCCGACAGCGAAACAACCUCCGUGCUGCCAACUCCACCUCUGACGAUGUAGCAGUCCUCACUGCCCAUAAUCAACAGCUCACUAACGACAUAAAAAAAGCCCGAUGGAAACAAUACCUCUCUACCUUCAACCGCCAUACCUACGUUAAACGCCUCUGGUCAACAAUAAAGGCCUUGCGGCAAGCCAAAAAACUACCCAAAUAACGCCAUCAACUUCAAUGAGAAACCCAUUAAUAAUAUCAAAAAUCUUGCCGAUUGCUUCGACAGUCUCUUCACGGCUGUCGCUCAACACAGGUCCAAUAAACUCAAUAGAAUCACAACCCGGAAGUCGAAGAACCUCAACCUAUCGGACAGUCCCUCCCUCUCAACGGCACAAGUGGCCAACGCAAUCAAACAAUCCCGUCCCUCUAAAGCCACUGGACCAAACAAACUCACCAUCUUUUACCUCAAAUAUCUUGGACCACUCGGAAUUACCUACCUGACCCGCUGUAAGGUGGAAAAAAUAAUAAUUAACUUUCAUUUCUGCAUUAUAUUACUCAUUCCGCAUUCAAUUAAUUUCUUCCUGGUUAGAAGAUAGUUCCUCCAUCCCUAUGUUGAUAAACAUAUAUUUGUAUUAGCCUUCCUUGUUUUACCCGGUAGAGACUAAGUCAUACUGCUGCUCUAACCCGGCAAACUGGACAAUGGCGCUAAAUCCUACCGACCAAUCUCCCUGCUUUGCCCCGCCAUCAAAGUCCUGGAACGAUGCUUGCUUCCUUUUAUCACUCAACACCUGCUCCUAGACGAUCAUCAACAUGGAUUCCGCCCUGGAUAUUCGACCACCUCUGCGCUCACCCUUGUGUGAACAUGGACGAGAUUUUGCUCCUACAAAAUAGCUUUCGCAGGCGGCCUGUUGGGUACAAAAUUAUACAACGUGAUGGCAAAUACAAUGUAUCAUCUGAAAUUACUGUUUUAGAGGUUUGACAUUGCUGCACAAUGAUCAACGUGUUGUCUAGUUUUGCAUCAUUAUCAAGCUUGUAAGACUCCUGAGCGACACACAUGUUUAAUGAAUACAUACUAACACUUACAACAGAAUACCAUAUUAUAUAUAAAAUUAUUAUGUAUUAUACACACAA